UACGGGGGGGGCAAGCGUUGUUCGGAAUUACUGGGCGUAAAGGGCUCGUAGGUGGCCAACUAAGUCAGACGUGAAAUCCCUCGGCUCAACCGGGGAACUGCGUCUGAUACUGGAUGGCUUGAGUUCGGGAGAGGGAUGCGGAAUUCCAGGUGUAGCGGUGAAAUGCGUAGAUAUCUGGAGGAACACCGGUGGCGAAGGCGGCAUCCUGGACCGACACUGACGCUGAGGAGCGAAAGCCAGGGGAGCAAACGGG
rnacentral:rRNA from 1 species